CACAUCCUCCCAUUUACUCUUUAGGGUACAAAUUGAUCUGACUUGAUUUGUCAGAGAGCCAGAACUGCAGGCAAAUAGACGCCAGAGAAAUCAACCAAUCUUUUAAGCCAGCAGUAAUUGUUCCUCCUGUCGGCUGGCUAAAUGACUUGUAUCUGGAGGAGACGCUCAGAAUGAAUCAGAAUGCUUGAGGUGACAGAAACACAGAGCAUUCCAAAGUGGGCUGUAACAGAGUGAGUGUUUCUUCAUGUCUUACAAGAGUUUGGUUUCAUGUUUUUUCCCCUUUCCCUCUUAUUCUGUCUCCUGGGGCUAGUGUUAUCUGGCAGAGACCAAGCUGAAGCAUGUAUAUAAUAGCAAGGAAUAGUAGUUUGUGUGGGGAUGAGGG
rnacentral:lncRNA from 1 species